rnacentral:rRNA from 1 species
GACGAACGCUGGCGGCGUGCUUAACACAUGCAAGUCGAACGGUGAAGCCCUUCGUGUGGGGGCAGUUGCGAACGGGAGCGUAACACGUACGCAAGCGUCACCUGCCCCUGACACAACCAUUACAUACGGUAACUGGUACCGAUUACGGCCAGCCUCUCCAUCUGGAGGGGGUGGGAAGGUUUGCUUCUGCGGUUGGGGAUGGACUCGCGGCGUAUCAGCUUGUUGGUGGGGCAGUGGCUUACCAAGGCUGUGACGGGUAGCCGGCCUGAGAGGGUGACCGGCCACAAUGGGACUGAGAUACGGCCCAGACUCCUACGGGAGGCAGCAGUGGGGAAUAUUGCACAAUGGGCGGAAGCCUGAUGCAGCGACGCCGCGUGAGGGAUGACGGCCUUCGGGUUGUAAACCGCUUUCGGCUGUGAAGAAGCGAAAGUGACGGUAGUGGCAGAAGAAGCACCGGCUAACUACGUG